rnacentral:rRNA from 1 species
CACACCGCCCGUCGCUACUACCGAUUGAAUGAUUUAGUGAGGUCUUCGGACUGGUGCGCGGCGAUCGCCUCGUGUGGUCGCCGAUGUUGCCGGAAAGAUGACCAAACUUGAUCAUUUAGAGGAAGUAAAAGUCGUAACAAGGUUUCCGUAGGUGAACCUGCAGAAGGAUCAAG